rnacentral:rRNA from 1 species
UGAGGCCCAAUAUCCUCAAUGUCACCAAAUUCCAUCUGAUCUUAGAAUCUAAAUGAGGUCAUCCCUAAGUAGUACUUAGAUGGGAAGCCACCAACAAAUACCAGGUGCUGGGCUAUAC